rnacentral:rRNA from 1 species
CCGCGGUAAUACGAAGGGGGCAAGCGUUGUUCGGAAUUACUGGGCGUAAAGAGCGCGUAGGCGGUCUGAUUAGUCAGAGGUGAAAUCCCAGAGCUCAACUUUGGAACUGCCUUUGAUACUGUUAGACUAGAAUCCGUGAGAGGGUGGUGGAAUUCCCAGUGUAGAGGUGAAAUUCGUAGAUAUUGGGAGGAACACCAGUGGCGAAGGCGGCCACCUGGCGCGGUAUUGACGCUGAGGCGCGAAAGCGUGGGGAGCAAACAGGAUUAGAUACCCUGGUAGUCCACGCCGUAAACGAUGAGUGCUAGAUGUCGGGGUACAUGUAUCUCGGUGUCGCAGCUAACGCAUUAAGCACUCCGCCUGGGGAGUACGGCCGCAAGGUUAAAACUCAAAGGAAUUGA